AUGGAGAAAUUACUAUCAGCGGCCGGAAAGGAAGUUUUAAUUAAGGCAGUUGCACAAGCGAUCCCAGUUUUUUCAAUGUCCUGUUUUCGUCUACCAAGGGGUUUAUGUGACAGUAUCACAUCCAUAAUUCGCCAAUUCUGGUGGGGAAGCAAACAAGGUAAAAGGAAACCUAGUUGGGUGGCAUGGGAUAUGAUGACCAGGCCUAAGCACUUGGGUGGUCUUGGUUUUCGUGAUUUGGAGAUCUUCAAUCUAGCACUCUUGGCUAGACAAGCAUGGCGGCUGAUGACCGAUGAGACCUCGCUUAGUGCAAAGGUGCUAAAGGCUGUAUAUUUCCCUCAAUGCUCACUCCUGGAUGCUGAGUUGGGAUCCCACCCCUCUCAGAUAUGGCGAGCGGUGCUUGAUGGUAGGGACAUUGUUGUACGAGGUGUGGUUCGAAGAGUUGGUAAUGGGGCUUCGACAAGUAUCUGGCAGCAUAACUGGAUUCCUCGUGAUAACUUCAAGAGGCCGAUCACUUCACUUGUUCCUAAUCCGCCAGAAAGAGUGUCGGACCUGAUUGAUGCUACCUCGGCUCAAUGGAGAGAAAACCUGGUACGGGUUGUCUUUACUCCUUUUGAUGCUGCAGAGAUCCUCAAGAUAUCGCUGUGCACGAGGAACAUAACAGAUUUUUGGGCAUGGCAUGAAGAGAGACGGGGAGUUUUCACGGUGCGUUCUGCUUACCGUAUGAUACUAAGAACGAAGAUCAGCAGGGAGAGAUGGCUUCAUGAGGAAGAAGGUACUUCAAAUUUACAGGAAAGUAAGCAGUGGAGUGCAAUCUGGCACAUACAAGUACCCUCGAAGCUGCGGAUGUUUGUUUGGCGUCUAGCCAGGCAAUCGAUGCCGACAGGUGAGGUCCUCCACCACUGA
rnacentral:rRNA from 1 species